rnacentral:rRNA from 1 species
AUUGAACGCUGGCGGAAUGCUUUACACAUGCAAGUCGAACGGUAGAGGGGGCAACCCCUCGAGAGUGGCGAACGGGUGAGUAAUAUAUCGGAACGUGCCCAGUCGUGGGGGAUAACGUAGCGAAAGUUACGCUAAUACCGCAUACGAUCUAAGGAUGAAAGCGGGGGAUCGCAAGACCUCGCGCGAUUGGAGCGGCCGAUAUCAGAUUAGGUAGUUGGUGGGGUAAAGGCUCACCAAGCCAACGAUCUGUAGCUGGUCUGAGAGGACGACCAGCCACACUGGAACUGAGACACGGUCCAGACUCCUACGGGAGGCAGCAGUGGGGAAUUUUGGACAAUGGACGCAAGUCUGAUCCAGCCAUUCCGCGUGCAGGAUGAAGGCCCUCGGGUUGUAAACUGCUUUUGUACGGAACGAAAAGGUCUCUCUUAAUACGGGGGACUCAUGACGGUACCGUAAGAAUAAGCACCGGCUAACUACGUGCCAGCAGCCGCCGCAGUAA